UUCAAUUCCGGUCAAGGGCAUGUACCUUGGUUGCGGGCACAUCCCCAGUAGGGGGUGUGCAGGAGGCAGCUGGUCAAUGUUUUUCUCUCAUUGAUGUCUCUAACUCUCUAUCCCUCUCUCCUCCUCUCUAUAAAAAAAAAUCAAUAAAAUAUAUAUUUUUAAAAAUAAAACCAGGUCCAAGAGCCCAUGAAGCUUUGGCCUGGCCCCUUGAGAUGCUUGCUCUGGUGGGGAAGUCAGCCCGCACGUAAGAAAUUCAAUGCCUCCAUGCUGCACAGGCACCGGUAGGUGGUCCGGUUGACAGCCCCAGGCUCCGCCCAGCCGACAACCAGUAUCAGCUGCCAGAUGAGUGAGUGUGUCUUCUUGGAUAUCCAGCCCAGUCGAGCCUUCGGAUGAUGGCAGCCCCACCCAACAACUGCCUGGGAACCCCCCAGCGAGCCCUGCCCAGCCACGGGGUGACACCUGAGUUUCAGGAUGGCUGGCUGCUGAGCUCACAUGUACCUGGACAGUCAAGUUCCUGGUUCAAGUCCAAGAGGAAGGCAGGAACGUGGCCAGGUGCCUCAGGAGAAGGUUGGGCCAGGUGAGCUGGAACGCGUAGUCACUGGGCAUGGACACCGUCCUCUUCCUCUCACCCUGUGCUCUGGGCGGAUGGCGGGGCUCGAGGCUGCACACAGCUUUAUCCCUUCAGCAUGAUCCAGAGAGUGAGUCAGAGAGCGGUGUUUGGACACGGCUGCGAUCUAUCAUUUGGCUCAUGGAUUGGGAGAACUCUGUGUGCUCUUUCUUAAUAUCCUGAGUCUACCU